rnacentral:rRNA from 1 species
GACGAACGCUGGCGGCGUGGAUUAGGCAUGCAAGUCGAACGGUAUCAUCCUUUCGGGGGUGAGAGAGUGGCGAACUGGUGAGUAACACGUAGGUUAUCUACCCUCAAGACGGGGACAACCCAGGGAAACUUGGGCUAAUACCGGAUGUGAGCAACUUUUAGUUGUUUGAAAGGUGGCGUAAGCUGUCGCUUGGGGAUGAGCCUGCGUCCUAUUAGUUAGUUGGUGAGGUAACGGCUCACCUAGGUAAUGAUAGGUAGGCGGCCUUAACGGGUGUCGCCCACACUGGGAUUGAGAUACGGCCCAGACUCCUACGGGAGGCAGCAGUCGAGAAUAGUCUACAAUGGUCGGAAGACUGAUAGUGCGACGCCGCGUGAACGAUGAAUCCCUUCGGGGUGUAAAGUUCUUUUAUAUGUGAGCAGUGCUUCUUAUAUUAACAGUAUGGGGAGAGAGAUAUUAGCAUAUGAAUAAGCAACGGCUAACUCCGUGCCAGCAGCCCGCGGU